GAGGUCCUUCAUCCCAUUCUUGGGGGAGGCACUCAUGGCCUAACCACCUCCUAAAGAACCCACUAUUGUCUGUAAUACCAUCAUAUUACAGGUACUGUUAACUAUUAGUACCUGAAUUUUGGAGGGAACACAUUCAAACUAUAGCACCUAUUUAGGCUAAAAAGAUAGUUCAUUGUUAGUGUAUGAAAAAACUACUGAUUUUUUAUGUUGAUUUUAUAUACUGCAACUUUAUUGAAUUCUCAAUAAAUGGUGUUGAAAAAACUGGAUGUCCUCAUGAAGAAGAAUGAAAUUGAACACAUCACAUCCCAUAUACAAGAAUCAACUCAAAAUGGGUUGAAGACUUAAAUAUAAGAUCUGAAACUAUAAAACUAGAAAUAAAAAAUGUAAGAGAAAAGCUCCACACACUGAUCUGGACAAAGAUUUUUUUGACUAUGACCCUAAAAGCACAGACAACAAAAACAAAAAGAGACCAUUAAUCUAUUAGUUAUUGUAUUGCAUCAAACUAAAAAGCUUAAGCACAGCAAAGGAAACAAUUUACAAAAUAAAGAGACAACCCAUAGGUUAAGAGAAAAAUAUUUGCAAACAAUACAUCUGUUAAGGGGCUCUAAUAUCCAAAAUAUAGAGAGAAAUUAAACAACUCAAUAAUGAGAAAACAAGUAAUUACAUUAAAAAUAGGCAAAUGACUUAAAUAGAUAUUUCUCAAAAGAAGACACAUAAAUGGCCAGUGGGUUAUUAAUAACAAAGCCCAAUAUCCCUAUCACUAAUCAUUGGGGAAAUGCAAAUUGAAACCACAAUUAUAUAUCACCUCAGAUCUGUCAGAAUGGCUAUUAUCAAAAAGAUGAAAUUUAAAUGUUGG
rnacentral:lncRNA from 1 species